GGCAAUGUAGCUCAGUCGGUUAGAGCACAGCAUUCAUAAUGCUGGUGUCGGUGGUUCGAGUCCACCCAUUGCUACCA
rnacentral:tRNA from 1 species